rnacentral:lncRNA from 1 species
UUUUAAUUAUUACUAUUUUUGAGUAUUUGUUUUCAUCCGUCUGAUCAGAAGAUCAGUUGGAUUAGAUUUGGUAAAAUUUUCCAAAGCACAAUACGAAUUUUGCUCUUUCCAAUAUAUAGAUACACAGAUCAUGCGUAUCUUCUCCCUCUUCCCCAAAAUCAGCUCCCAUCAACAUCAACUUUCCCAAAAAUUGGGAAAAAUCAUUGCCCUUCCUUUUUCUCUUUUUCUCCAUCUUCCCCUUCAUGCCAAGAACGAGCAACUCAAAACCCUAGCCACAUCCUUAUAGUCUGUUGCUUGCCUAUUCAAGAUUUGCCUAUUUUUGCCUUAUUAGCUCAUGAAUCUAUAGAAAUCGAAGGGAAGCAGUCCCCAAUUCGUAUAACAACGGGAAAAAUGAUUCAAAAUCACCAUCAAUGGCUUGAAAAGUUAAAAGAUUCAGAGAGUAUUUACUUCAGAGAUUGAUUUCAAAUUUCAAAUUGAUUUCUCUCAUAUUUUUCUUAAAUUGAGUUUUGAAUCCAGACUUUCAAGUUCGGAUUCACUGAUAAAUACGGGCCCUUGUCAUCUCUAAGGGGUAGGCAAAAAUUUGUGAGAAAGGUAAGGGAAAUCCGUGAGAAAAGAAGAGGAAAAACUAGUGAAACGGGGAGUGUUUCUGUUGAGUUUAAGGUUUUAUAAGGAAAAUUCGUGAGGAAAGAGGUCGAAAAAUUAGUAAGAAAAAUAAAAGAAAAGGAGAGUGAAAAUUAGUAAGCAAAACAAAAAAAAUGAGUGGAAAGUUUGUAAAGGGGGAUUUGGAAGUGAAAUAUCAAUAAAAAAUCUCAAGUCUCCGGAAUCCGUUGGCUUCUUUCCUUUCUUGAUUUUUCAUUUUUUUAUUUUCGGGGUAAAAUUUUGAGUCACCAAAGUUGAUUUUGAUGGCCAAAUAAAAGUUCUCGAUGGAAAGCCCGAAGUUUACUGCCCCUAAAAUAGUGCAAAACCAUUUUUCAUUCCCUUCCCUCGUCUAUUGAUUUUGGAAUAUGUGAUUUUUUCACUUUUAAAUUUUAUGUUAUUAUCGUUGUUCUUUAUCCUUGCGGAUGAAUGUAAUUUUAAUACUGAAAAGAGGAAACCAUGUUCAUAUGCGAAUAUCAAGAUUUGUAAAUGUGUGUAUAGUACAUUUACUUUGUUGUGGUAACUUGUAUUUAUUUUUUCUUAAAAAAAAAGAAAAGAUAAUUCUUUUGAUUCAGAUGAAGAGUUGUUACAUUCUUGUAUUUUAGUUUGAAAUUGGUUCCCUCCCAAUUUGGAUUCAAGACUAUUGGACGCAAAAUAGCAUAAGAAUCAUCCCUUUUUUCUUUGUUUUCUAAUUUGAAUAUGUAUCUGUGAAUGUGCGUAUGUGUCUGUUCAUCUUGUUUGGUAUUAACUGUAAGUUUAAUUCAUGCGUCAUUUAAAGUAUGCGGUUAUUAAAAAUACCAAAGAGUGGCUUCCAUCUCUUCUUGAUACCACUGCUGCCUUUCAUCAUCUUUGUGUAAAGUAAAAUUAUGAUUUUUGAAAUCACUUCGCAUGCGAAUACACAAGUCUUGUGGUGUUUCUCUAUUCUAUUGACAUAUUUCAUUCUUUUUUAUAUCAAAUGUUGUUUUGUGCGUGUGCGGAUAAAUGAGGUUGUAAGAAAUUUUUAUUGACAUAUUGGGAGUUGCCUUUUUGAAUCACGUUUUUAACACAAAGC